rnacentral:rRNA from 1 species
AGCGAACGUUAGCGGCGCGCCUAACACAUGCAAGUCGCACGAGAAAGGGAGCAAUCCCCGGUACAGUGGCGCACGGGUGAGUAACACGUAGAUGACCUUCCCUGGAGUGGUGGAUAACCUGCCGAAAGGCGGGCUAAUACAGCAUGGGACCACAUGGUUUUGACCGAGUGGUGAAAGCGGGCCUCUGUUCACAAGCUCGCGCUCUGGGAUGGGUCUGCGUCCCAUCAGCUAGUUGGUGAGGUAAUGGCUCACCAAGGCAUCGACGGGUAGCUGGUCUGAGGGGAUGACCAGCCACACUGGAACUGAGACACGGUCCAGACUCCUACGGGAGGCAGCAGUGGGGAAUCUUGCGCAAUGGGCGAAAGCCUGACGCAGCGACGCCGCGUGGGUGAUGAAGGCCUCGGUU